UACGUAGGGUGCAAGCGUUUAAUCGGAAUUACUGGGCGUAAAGCGUGCGCAGGCGGUUAUGUAAGACAGAUGUGAAAUCCCCAGGCUCAACCUGGGAACUGCAUCCGAUACUGGAUGGCUUGAAUUCGGGAGAGGGAUGCAGAAUUCCAGGUGUAGCGGUGAAAUGCGUAGAUAUCUGGAGGAAUACCGGUGGCGAAGGCGGCAUCCUGGGACCGACAUUGACGCGUGAGGAGCGAAAGCCGGGGA
rnacentral:rRNA from 1 species